AGAAUGAUAUUGAGCCAAAGAUGACUUGCCGAUUUUACUGAUUGAGUCUAAAAAAAACUGAUAUUGAUUGCCGGCAAGUUGAUUUUGGCUCUGUUUCAUUCUUU
rnacentral:pre_miRNA from 2 species